UACGGAGGGGGCUAGCGUUGUUCGGAAUUACUGGGCGUAGAGCGCACGUAGGCGGAUAUUUAAGUCAGGGGUGAAAUCCCGGGGCUCAACCCCGGAACUGCCUUUGAUACUGGGUAUCUGGAGGUCGAGAGAGGCGAGUGGAAUUCCGAGUGUAGAGGUGAAAUUCGUAGAUAUUCGGAGGAACACCAGUGGCGAAGGCGGCUCGCUGGCUCGAUACUGACGCUGAGGUGCGAAAGCGUGGGGAGCAAACAGG
rnacentral:rRNA from 1 species